rnacentral:rRNA from 1 species
AUUGAACGCUGGCGGCAGGCCUAACACAUGCAAGUCGAACGAGUGGCGGACGGGUGAGUAAUGUCUGGGAAACUGCCCGAUGGAGGGGGAUAACUAAUGGAAACGGUAGAUAAUACCGCAUACCAUCGGAUGUGCCCAGAUGGGAUUAGCUAGUAGGUGGGGUAACGGAUAACCUAGGCGACGAUCCCUAGCUGGUCUGAGAGGGUGACCAGCCACACUGGAACUGAGACACGGUCCAGACUCCUACGGGAGGCAGCAGUGGGGAAUAUUGCACAAUGGGCGCAAGCCUGAUGCAGCCAUGCCGCGUGGAUGAAGAAGGCCUUCGGGUUGUAAAGUACUGUCAUCUGGGAGGCGUUACUCGCAGAAGAAGCACCGGCUAACUCCGUGCCAGCAGCCGCGGUAAUUC